rnacentral:rRNA from 1 species
UCGUGUAGCAAGGGCCCGUACCGUAAACCGACACAGGUGGAUGAGGAGAGGAUCCUAAGGCCGGCGGGAGAAGUGUUGUUAAGGAACUCGGCAAAAUGACUCCGUAACUUCGGGAGAAGGAGUGCUGCGCAAGCAGCCGCAGAGAAAUGGCCCAAGCAACUGUUUAGCAAAAACACAGGUCUAUGCGAAACCGAAAGGUGAGGUAUAUGGGCUGACGCCUGCCCGGUGCUGGAAGGUUAAGGGGAGAGCUUAGCGCAAGCGAAGGUUUGAACUUAAGCCCCAGUAAACGGCGGCCGUAACCAUAACGGUCCUAAGGUAGCGAAAUUCCUUGUCGGGUAAGUUCCGACCCGCACGAAAGGCGUAAUGAUUUGGGCACUGUCUCAACAACACACCCGGUGAAAUUGAAAUACCAGUGAAGAUGCUGGUUACCCGCGCCAGGACGGAAAGACCCCAUGGAGCUUUACUCCAGCCUGAUACUGGGAUUCGGUAUUGCAUGUACAGGAUAGGUGGGAGGCUAAGAACUUAUGGCGCCAGCCGUGAGGGAGCCGAUGUUGGGAUACCACCCCUGCAGUACUGGGUUUCUAACCUGCGCCCGUGACCCGGGCGGGGGACAAUGUCAGGCGGGGAGUUUGACUGGGGCGGUCGCCUCCGAAAGGGUAUCGGAGGCGCUCAAAGGUCUCCUCAGGAUGGUUGGAAACCAUCCAGAGAGUGCAAAGGCAGAAGGAGGCUUGACUGCGACACCGACGGGUGGAGCAGGUACGAAAGUAGGACUUAGUGAUCCGGUGGCAUAAAGUGGGAUUGCCAUCGCUCAACGGAUAAAAGCUACCCUGGGAUAACAGGCUUAUCACUCCCAAGAGUUCACAUCGACGGAGUGGUUUGGCACCUCGAUGUCGGCUCAUCGCAUCCUGGAGCUGGAGCAGGUUCCAAGGGUUGGGCUGUUCGCCCAUUAAAGCGGUACGCGAGCUGGGUUCAGAACGUCGUGAGACAGUUCGGUCCCUAUCCGGCGCGGGCGCAGGAUAUCUGAGAGGAGCUGUCCUUAGUACGAGAGGACCGGGAUGGACCGUCCGCUGGUGGACCGGUUGUCAUGCCGAUGGCACGGCCGGGUAGCCAAGACGGGAAGGGAUAAACGCUGAAGGCAUCUAAGCGUGAAGCCCCCCUCAAGAUGAGAUAUCCAUACUCGAAAGAGUGAGAGACCCCUUAGAGACGAUGAGGUAGAUAGGGCAGAGAUGGAAGCACAGCGAUGUGUGGAGUUGACUGUUACUAAUCGGUCGAUAGCUUGACC